AGUUUGAUCCUGGCUCAGAUUGAACGCUGGCGGCAUGCUUUACACAUGCAAGUCGAACGCGGGUGAGGGGCAACUCUUACCUGAGUGGCGAACGGGUGAGUAAUACAUCGGAACGUGCCUCGUAGUGGGGGAUAGCUCGGCGAAAGCCGGAUUAAUACCGCAUACGAUCCACGGAUGAAAGCAGGGGACCGCAAGGCCUUGCGCUAUGAGAGCGGCCGAUGUCCGAUUAGCUUGUUGGUGAGGUAAAGGCUCACCAAGGCGACGAUCGGUAGCUGGUCUGAGAGGAUGAUCAGCCACACUGGGACUGAGACACGGCCCAGACUCCUACGGGAGGCAGCAGUGGGGAAUUUUGGACAAUGGCGGCAACCCUGAUCCAGCCAUGCCGCGUGAGUGAAUAAGGCCUUCCGGUUGUAAAGCUCUUUUGGCCCGAAAGAAAAGGCGUCUGAUAACACCCGGCGUUCUUGACGGUACCGGCAGAAUAAGCUCCGGCUAACUACCUGCCAACAGCCGCGGUAAUACGUACGGUGCGAGCGUUAAUCGGAAUUACUGGGCGUAAAUCGUGCGUAGGCGGUCCCGCAAGUCCGCUGUGAAAGCCCCGAGCUUAAC
rnacentral:rRNA from 1 species